rnacentral:tRNA from 1 species
GCGGGUGUUGUUCAACGGCAGAACACCGAUCUUCCAGAUCGGCAGCGCAGGUUCGACUCCUGCCGCCCGCU